GCACAAGCGGUGGAGCAUGUGGUUUAAUUCGAUGAUACGCGAGGAACCUUACCAGGGCUUAAAUGUAGGUUGCAUUAGACAGAGAUGUUUAUUUCUUCGGACUACUUACAAGGUGCUGCAUGGUUGUCGUCAGCUCGUGCCGUGAGGUGUCAGGUUAAGUCCUAUAACGAGCGCAACCCCUGUCGUUAGUUGCCAGCAUGUAAAGAUGGGGACUCUAACGAGACUGCCGGUGCAAACCGCGAGGAAGUGGGGAUGACGUCAAAUCAUCACGGCCCUUACGUCCUGGGCUACACACGUGCUACAAUGGCCGGUACAGAGCGCAGCGAGGCCGCGAGGCGGAGCGAAUCGCUUAAAGCCGGUCCCAGUACGGAUUGGAGUCUGCAACCCGACUCCAUGAAGUUGGAAUCGCUAGUAAUCGCGCAUCAGCAUGGCGCGGUGAAUACGUUCCCGGGCCUU
rnacentral:rRNA from 1 species